GANUAAUACUUAGGAAUCUACCUAGUAGUGGGGGAUAGCUCGGGGAAACUCGAAUUAAUACCGCAUACGUCCUACGGGAGAAAGCAGGGGAUCAUUAGACCUUGCGCUAUUANAUGAGCCUAAGUCGGAUUANCUAGAUGGUGGGGUAAAGGCCUACCAUGGCGACNAUCUGUANCUGGUCUGAGAGGAUGAUCAGCCACACCGGGACUGANACACGGCCCGGACUCCUACGGGAGGCAGCAGUGGGGAAUAUUGGACAAUGGGGGGAACCCUGAUCCANCCAUGCCGCGUGUGUGAAGAAGGCCUUUUGGUUGUAAAGCACUUUAAGCAGUGAAGAAGACUCUUCGGUUAAUACCCGGGGACGAUGACAUUAGCUGCAGAAUAAGCACCGGCUAACUCUGUGCCAGCAGCCGCGGUAAUACAGAGGGUGCAAGCGUUAAUCGGAAUUACUGGGCGUAAAGCGAGCGUANGUGGNUUGAUAAGUCAGAUGUGAAAUCCCCGGNCUUAACCUGGNAACUGCAUCUGAANCUGNUANGCUAGAGUANGUGAGAGGNAAGUANAAUUUCNGGUGUAGCGGUGAAAUGCGNANAGAUCUGAANGGAAUACCGAUGGCGAAGG
rnacentral:rRNA from 1 species